CAGGAGAGAGGAACAAGCCAAAGGAGAUGACAUUUCCUGCACAAGCAAAUAGAACAAAUUAAAACGGAUAAAUCUUCCUCUAAAACUCUCAUAAAUGAUCAAAUGCCUAAUUUCACAUCGAUAUAUCGAUUCAGGAUGAAUUCACUCUAUCAAACAACGAAAACAAGAACAAAUUAAAAUUUUACACAGCGAACGAAGAAGAAACGCAAUUCCCAAAGGCACUACUAAAUUUAAGAAGAAACAAACAUAACCAGAAAUUCACAAGACCGGAAACAAAAAUAGCUAUGACGUCUUUUAAUACAAAGAGAAGGAGAAGAAGCGCAUUUUUCGAAUUAAAUAACAGAAACAAUAGAUUUGAAGGGAAAAAGCCAUCACAAAUUCAUCUCUGAAAAGAAAAAAGAAGAAAAACUCAAAGGAAUGAAAUCGCAGAACAAAAUGUUUAUAUAUAUAUAUAUGUAUAUGUAUAUAUAUAUGCGUAUAAAAUACAGAUAAAGACGGCCACUCUGCAGAGCAUACCGAUGAUGCCAACUAUGUUCCGGACGGUUCUCGAACUGAUCAUCUCGAAAUCGCGUGAUCGUAAAAGCAGAAGAGUGGAGAGCGAUGGAGAGCGAGAGAGCAGAAUUGAGGAGCAGAGAAAACGAGAAGCGAGGGAGAAGAAGAGACGGUUAAAUAGAAAGAGAUGGGUG
rnacentral:lncRNA from 1 species